rnacentral:lncRNA from 1 species
CCUUGUAUGAAUAUGGGUGAAUGAGUCAUGUUCUAAAAAGCGCUCUGAGUAAAAGAGUAGAAAAGGUGUCAUAUAAGCACUAAUCCAUUUACCAUUUAGAAAGUUUUUUAUUACGGAUGAAAUAAUUUAUUUGAUUCUUGGUGUCAAGAAAAACUACAAAGUGAAGUAGGUUCAUUAAAUUGUGAGUCAUGGGUCUUUUUUAAUGUGCGGGCGCCAUCUAGUGAGGGAUCACAGGAUUACACCAGAUCUGACGAAUUCAAGACCUCAUUUUUAAGUGGAUAGGUCACACGGGGAGGUCACGGUUUGUUUUAGACCACUCCAAAUUAUAUGUAGUUGUUGGUGCACGUGUACAUGUUUUAUGCUUUUUAGGGCAGGGGUGUGGGGGGGAGUGGGGAGAAAGAAAUGCCCUCAAAGCAGUUACAAAGUGACAGAUGGGAAUCCGCGUCACGUUGCAAAAAAAUCCACGGGUGACAUGCACACAGAGCUUCGAGCAAAGGUUUCGAGUCUCGCUGCACGCGCGCAUCUUCACAGCCUGCGUCCUCGCCAUGACAACCGGUGUUCUGACAAACCGGCUCGCAUCACACACUAAUCCACCGAUGUUUAUUUUUAGCAGCGAGCCACUCUCGUUCAGCACACGUCCCAUGUUCAUGCCGUCAAUUAUUCAUAUGUUUUAGGCCUGCAGCGACCACAGAGCGGGACUAACACAAGUCGGAGUUGCGGGAUGCCGAGAACCAGCCAGGGUGCAGAAAUGCACCCGAAAACUGGCAGACAGCAGACCAACAAGCAGCCAGCUGCACAGAUAAGGAAGCACUCUCUGAAACCCCAAACACAGGCCUCCAUGACCACAGAGUACCAGGAGAGGUUCCUUCCUCCCACCUGUUAUGUAGCAAUCGUGACAACGGCAGCAAAGAAGAGCCCUUACCAUCCGCUGAAGGGGACAAGUCAUGAGAUUACCUCUUUGAGAUCAUUUUACAUUCAGCAAAAAUGGAUAAAAAAGCCACCAAAGGUCCCACAGCCACCAGAGCCAGACUACAGACAAUGCAAAGGCCCACUCAGUGCUGCAAACCAUCCGGCAAACCAGACACCAUCCAGGACUGACUACAUGAGCAUCUAUCAAAAUGAUUUUAAACACUGGGAGGGCAGCAAGCGCCAGCCAAUCAUCCUGAAAGACAGUCUGACAGUCAAGCAUGGAUUAGGCAACAUGCUCGCACUGGCGAAGGAACCAGAACGCAUUGCAAACACCACCAGCUAUAAAUCGGAUUACAUCCCCCACCCAACAAACCCCAGACCAGUCAAGCUGAAGCACUCUAACCAAAGCAGCAAGGAUCUCCCGCUGGAGCCGAGACUGCCCUUCAAGCCAAAGCAGCCUUGGUCUACACACCAACACCUUGACAAAGGCAGUGAUUUUUUUGAGAAGUUCAACAGUUGUUCCCUUGAAACCAAGUUUCAGGGCCACACCACAGAUUUCUCUUCACCAGCAGACCACAGCGUUCACUGCCAGGUGAAAAAUCUGCCAGCCCUCGAGAUAAACGACGUCCCCCGCCAUGCAGCGAGUACCGUGACGGACGACUACAGAGUCUGGCAUUCGCCGCAAAGCUUCACCACUGUGAGAACCACUUUGUCAGUGGGCAAACCUAAAUCUCCUGACGACAGCAAAGCCAGCCCAAAGACUUUGAGACAACACGCCAAAAUACACAAGGCCGCAGCCUGUAAUUCCUCCAGAGGUGCCACACAGAAACCACAGAGUCCUGCAGACACUGAACUGCUUUCUAGCUUCGAAUGCUCCACAGAGAACGGAGAAUCUAAGAUGUACUGGUACAGCGAUUUGGGCCGAGGAGGGACUUGGCCUGAUGGCGACAGCUGUAUAGACCACAGCAACCAAAUAAUCAGCUGCAUGGUUUCUACCAGAAACUAAGGUGGCUGACAAGGUGUGGUCCCGCCACAUAUUACCUCAG